rnacentral:tRNA from 1 species
AAUGAAGUGCCUGAUUAAAGGAUUACUUUGAUAGAGUAAAUCAAGUAGAAUAACCUCUACCUUCAUUA